AUUGAACGCUGGCGGCAGGCCUAACACAUGCAAGUCGAACGAGUGGCGGACGGGUGAGUAAUGUCUGGGAAACUGCCCGAUGGAGGGGGAUAACUACUGGAAACGGUAGCUAAUACCGCAUACCAUCGGAUGUGCCCAGAUGGGAUUAGCUAGUAGGUGGGUUAACGGCUCACCUAGGCGACGCUCCCUAGCUGGGCUGAGAGGAUGACCAUCCAAACGGGAACGGAGACACGGUCCAGACUCCUACGGGAGGCAGCAGUGGGGAAUAUUGCACAAUGGGCGCAAGCCUGAUGCAGCCAGGCCGCGUGUAUGAAGAAGGCCUGCGGGUUGUAAAGUACUUGCAGCGAGGAGGCGUGACUCGCAGAAGAAGCACCGGCUAACUCCGUGCCAGCAGCCGCGGUAAUAG
rnacentral:rRNA from 1 species